rnacentral:lncRNA from 1 species
CACAAGGUAGUCCAAAGAAGCCUAGGAGCACCGAAAUUAUGCACUCCUCAAAUGGUAGUGUCCCGCGUAUGAAUAUUGAGGCCCAAGAGGUGAACAAUGAGCAAGUUUCUAUGAAAUUCGGGGACGAGAGGCAGGGCAGAGAUGGCUACUCUUUCAUGGGAGGGCAGACUAAUUUCAUCGGAAAUUUUGGGCAAUACCCGAUUGGGGAAAUUGGCAGGUUUGAUGCAGACCAAUUCGCACCAAGGUUCUCGGGCAACGGUGUCUCUCUCACUCUAGGUCUUCCUCACUGCGAAAACCUCUCCAUGUCCGGAGCUCACCGCCAUCAAACUUUUCUCCCAAACCAAAAC